CGAACGGCAGCACAGUGGAGCUUGCUCCAUGGGUGGCGAGUGGCGGACGGGUGAGGAAUACAUGGGAAUCUGCCCAGUCGUGGGGGAUAACGUAUGGAAACGUACGCUAAUACCGCAUGCGCCCUUCGGGGGAAAGUCGGGGACCGCAAGGCCUGACGCGAUUGGAUGAGCCCAUGUUCGAUUAGCUAGUUGGCGGGGUAACGGCCCACCAAGGCGACGAUCGAUAGCUGGUCUGAGAGGAUGAUCAGCCACACUGGAACUGAGGCACGGUCCAGACUCCUACGGGAGGCAGCAGUAGGGAAUAUUGGACAAUGGGCGCAAGCCUGAUCCAGCCAUGCCGCGUGAGUGAAGAAGGCCCUCGGGUUGUAAAGCUCUUUUGUUGGGGAAGAAAAGCAGUUGGUUAAUACCCGAUUGUUCUGACGGUACCCAAAGAAUAAGCACCGGCUAACUUCGUGCCAGCAGCCGCGGUAAUACGAAGGGUGCAAGCGUUACUCGGAAUUACUGGGCGUAAAGCGUGCGUAGGUGGUUGUUUAAGUCUGGGUUGUUUAAGUCUGAUGUGAAAGCCCUGGGCUCAACCUGGGAAUGGCAUUGGAUACUGGAUAGCUAGAGUGCGGUAGAGGGUAGUGGAAUUCCCGGUGUAGCAGUGAAAUGCGUAGAGAUCGGGAGGAACAUCCGUGGCGAAGGCGACUACCUGGGCCAGCACUGACACUGAGGCACGAAAGCGUGGGGAGCAAACAGGAUUAGAUACCCUGGUAGUCCACGCCCUAAACGAUGCGAACUGGAUGUUGGGCUCAACUUGGAGCUCAGUAUCGAAGCUAACGCGUUAAGUUCGCCGCCUGGGGAGUACGGUCGCAAGACUGAAACUCAAAGGAAUUGACGGGGGCCCGCACAAGCGGUGGAGUAUGUGGUUUAAUUCGAUGCAACGCGAAGAACCUUACCUGGCCUUGACAUGCACGGAAUCCUUUAGAGAUAGAGGAGUUCGAUGCAACGCGAAGAACCUUACCUGGCCUUGACAUGCACGGAAUCCUUUAGAGAUAGAGGAGUGCCUUCGGGAACCGUGACACAGGUGCUGCAUAGCUGUCGUCAGCUCGUGUCGUGAGAUGUUGGGUUAAGUCCCGCAACGAGCGCAACCCUUGUCCUUAGUUGCCAGCACGUAAUGGUGGGAACUCUAAGGAGACCGCCGGUGACAAACCGGAGGAAGGUGGGGAUGACGUCAAGUCAUCAUGGCCCUUACGGCCAGGGCUACACACGUACUACAAUGGUGGGGACAGAGGGCUGCAAGCGCGCGAGCGUGAGCCAAUCCCAGAAACCCCAUCUCAGUCCGGAUUGGAGUCUGCAACUCGACUCCAUGAAGUCGGAAUCGCUAGUAAUCGCAGAUCAGCAUUGCUGCGGUGAAUACGUUCCCGGGCCUUGUACACACCGCCCGUCACACCAUGGGAGUUUGUUGCACCAGAAGCAGGUAGCUUAACCUUCGGGGGGGCGCUUGCCACGGUGUGGCCGAUGACUG
rnacentral:rRNA from 1 species